GACGAACGCUGGCGGCGUGCCUAAUACAUGCAAGUUGAGCGCUGAAGGUUGGUACUUGUACCAACUGGAUGAGCAGCGAACGGGUGAGUAACGCGUGGGGAAUCUGCCUUUGAGCGGGGGACACAUUUGGAAACGAAUGCUAAUACCGCAUAAAAACUUUAAACACAAGUCUUAAGUUUGAAAGAUGCAAUUGCAUCACUCAAAGAUGAUCCCGCGUUGUAUUAGCUAGUUGGUGAGGUAAAGGCUCACCAAGGCGAUGAUACAUAGCCGACCUGAGAGGGUGAUCGGCCACAUUGGGACUGUGACCCGGCCCAAACUCCUACGGGAGGCAGCAGUAGGGAAUCUUCGGCAAUGGACGAAAGUCUGACCGAGCAACGCCGCGUGAGUGAAGAAGGUUUUCGGAUCGUAAAACUCUGUUGGUAGAGAAGAACGUUGGUGAGAGUGGAAAGCUCAUCAAGUGACGGUAACUACCCAGAAAGGGACGGCUAACUACGUG
rnacentral:rRNA from 1 species